GUCCUCGUAGUGCAGUGGUUAACACGCCCGGUGCUUAUUCCUUCCAUCUUGAUUGAUAGCAAAGAUCCCCGGGAGACGCCAUGUUCGAUUCUGGCCGAGGACA